rnacentral:rRNA from 1 species
AGUGCAGGCGGUUUUUAAGUCUGAUGUGAAAGCCUUCGGCUUAACCGAAGAAAUGCAUUGGAAACUGGGAAACUUGAGUGCAGAAGAGGAGAGUGGAACUCCAUGUGUAGCGGUGAAAUGCGUAGAUAUAUGGAAGAACACCAGUGGCGAAGGCGGCUCUCUGGUCUGUAACUGACGCUGAGGCUCGAAAGCGUGGUAGCAAACA